rnacentral:rRNA from 1 species
UACGUAGGGGCUAGCGUUAUCCGGAAUUACUGGGCGUAAAGGGUGCGUAGGCGGUCUUUCAAGCCAGAAGUGAAAGGCUACGGCUCAACCGUAGUAAGCUUUUGGAACUGUAAGACUUGAGUGCAGGAGAGGAGAGUGGAAUUCCUAGUGUAGCGGUGAAAUGCGUAGAUAUUGGGAGGAACACCAGUGGCGAAGGCGGCUUCCUGGCACAAUACUGACACUCAUGUGCGACAGCGUGGGGAGCAACCAGGAUUAGAUACCCGCGUAGU